GGCCAGAAUAGGGAUCAGGCAAAAGGAUGUGGAAGAAUCCUGGGUGAGCUGGGCAAAGCCCAAGUACAGUCCUGUACUGUUGGGUUUAUGAGCUCUUCAUUGUUGUUGUUGUUACUCUAGCACAGAGAACAGAAGUAUUGCCAAUCAUCUGGGUAGAGACCUAGAUACUCUUGAUAUUUCAAGAUUAAAAGCACAGCUAUUAGAAAAUUCCACAAAUUCUGAGACAAGAGCCACAAGGAAGAUACAUUAGAUAUUUAUGUAAUAAUUUCAGAGAGAAGUGUCAUUCUCUCCUGUGAUGAAGAUGACUGAGGUAACUACGAACCAGUUCCAGCAGGCAAAGAGCCCAGCCAGUAAUACAGAAUUUUCUUCCAAAAGGCCAGAAAAAUUUUGAUGGGCCUUUGCUCUUUCUGCAUUACAUAAAACAUUACCUAUUUUUCAUUCCUAUACUCACAACAUGAGAUUGCCCUGUUUCUUCUCUAUUUCUCUUACUACUUCUCUCCUCAUUUUAUUUAUCUUCAUUUUAUUGCUGUGGAACAGUGAUUCUCAGAAUGUGAUCCUCAUACCAGUGGCAUUAGCAUCAUGUAGGAGCUUGUUGGAUUUGCAAAAUUGAGGGCCCAUGCCAGAUAUCCUGAAUCAGAAACCCCAGGGAUGCAUGCUAAAUUUGAUGACCAUAACUCUAAAAUAAUAUUCUCCAAAGUAUAUUCCACAAAAUCUCAUUCUCUCUAUACUCUCUUUCUUGUCUCAUUUACCAUGGCUAGGUGUCCAAACUUCCUGUACCUCCAUCACUUGAUUUCUCGCCUUAAACUCCUAAGCUUGAAAGAAUGCACUCAUAACUUCCCUUCAAAACUGACCUCCUUUCCUGUCUUCUGUGUUUUCCAAUUAAAUUAAUAUUUCAGAUUGAACUGGAAGCUGUUUAAUGUUUGACAUCACGCUUAUUCACCAGUAGAUCCCAGAGACUAUUAUAAUAUCUGGCAGACAGUUACUGGGCAAUAUUUAUUGUAAUAAAGUAUAAUACAGUAGUUAUUAUGUUUUGUCAGAAGCCUCAGUGAAUACAAAUAUAAAUGUGAAUGUAAAACUCCUCUCUCUACGACUAUUUCAAUAAACCAAGUAUUUAUCCAA